rnacentral:rRNA from 1 species
AAUCAACGCUGGCGGCGUGCCUCAGACAUGCAAGUCGAACGAUUAAAGCUCCCUUCGGGGAGUGUAUAGAGUAGCGCACGGGUGAGUAACACGUAAGUAAUCUACCCUCGAGUGGGGAAUAACGUCCGGAAACGGACGCUAAUACCGCAUAAUGCAGCGGCACCGCAAGGUGACAGUUGUUAAAGAUUUAUCGCUUGAGGAGGAGCUUGCGGCAGAUUAGCUAGUUGGUAAGGUAAUGGCUUACCAAGGCUACGAUCUGUAACCGGUCUAAGAGGACGGUCGGUCACACUGACACUGAAUAACGGGUCAGACUCCUACGGGAGGCAGCAGUCGGGAAUUUUGGGCAAUGGGCGAAAGCCUGACCCAGCAACGCCGCGUGAAGGAUGAAGUAUUUCGGUAUGUAAACUUCGAAAGAAUGGGAAGAAUCAAUGACGUACCAUUUAUAAGGUCCGGCUAACUACGUGCCAGCAGCCGCGGU